rnacentral:snRNA from 1 species
GGAUGUGAGGGUGAUCUGGCUGUGACAUCUGUUAUCCCAUUGACCACCAGGGUUGAUUCAGCUGAUCUGGUUGGCUAGGUGGGUGUCCCCUUCCUCCUCACAACUCUAUAGGUAUCUCUCCUAAAGCUGUGUGCUCGGUUAGAAAGGACAUCCCCAAUAGAAGAGAACCAUUCUUAGGUCAAGGGUAGCUGCACUCCCCUGCUAGAACCUCCAAACAAGCUCUCAAAAAGCUAACCAUUGCUGGACAACAGGGCUCAUGUUUCUAAUCCUAGCUACUUGGUAGGCUGAGAUU